rnacentral:rRNA from 1 species
GUGAGGAAUAUUGCGCAAUGGAGGCAACUCUGACGCAGCCAUGCCGCGUGCAGGAAGAAGGCGCUACGCGUUGUAAACUGCUUUUAACCGGGAAGAAACCCCAGGACGUGUCCUGGGUUGACGGUACCGGAGGAAUAAGCACCGGCUAACUUCGUGCCAGCAGCCGCGGUAAUACGAAGGGUGCAAGCGUUAUCCGGAUUCAUUGGGUUUAAAGGGUGCGUAGGCGGAGCGUUAAGUCAGUGGUGAAAUCCUGCAGCUUAACUGUAGACUUGCCAUUGAUACUGGCGCUCUUGAGUGCGCUUGAAGUGGGCGGAAUGUGCCGUGUAGCGGUGAAAUGCUUAGAUAUGGCACAGAACACCAAUUGCGAAGGCAGCUCACUAAGGCGAUACUGACACUGAGGCACGAAAGCGUGGGGAUCGAACAGGAUUAGAUACCCCGGUAGUCC